rnacentral:rRNA from 1 species
UACGAAGGGGGCUAGCGUUGUUCGGAAUUACUGGGCGUAAAGCGCGCGCAGGCGGUUCUCCAAGUCAGUGGUGAAAGCCCGGAGCUCAACUCCGGAACUGCCAUUGAAACUGUUGAACUUGAGGACGAGAGAGGUGAGUGGAAUUCCCAGUGUAGAGGUGAAAAUUCGUAGAUAUUGGGAAGAACACCAGUGGCGAAAGGCGGCUCACUGGCUCGUAUCUGACGCUCAGGCGCGAUAGCGUGGGGAUCAAACAGG